UGAAGUGACAGCAGGCUGUGGUGCUGUGUGCCACCUCACAGUGACUGUGCACACUGACCUGGAAGACAAACAUGUUUUGACCAUUAGCCUUUAACUUCAGUUUAAUGUUUGAGCCCAGCGGAACACAGAGACUCCACUUCCUGCAGUCUGCAGUCCGGAUCCACGGAGACCGACAGCUGUUGCGCCGCUGCUGAUCUCGGAGCUGAUCAAACAUGGAGAUUUCAUUUGCAGGCAAACGGGCUCUGGUCACUGGAGCAGGAAAAGGGAUUGGCAGGGCCACGGCUCUGGCUCUGGCGCGCUGCGGGGCAAAGGUCAUAGCGGUCACACGCACGCAGGCCGACCUGAGCAGUCUGGUGCAGGAGGUACCCACACGCACACACACACCCUCCUCUGUUCUAUCUGUGCCAUUGU